rnacentral:rRNA from 1 species
GGUGAACGCUGGCGGCGUGCCUAAUACAUGCCAGUCGAGCGAACGGACGAGAAGCUUGCUUUUCUGAUGUUAGCGGCGGACGGGUGAGUAACACGUGGAUAACCUACCUAUAAGACUGGGAUAACUUCGGGAAACCGGAGCUAAUACCGGAUAAUAUUUUGAACCGCAUGGUUCAUAAGUGAAAGACGGUCUUGCUGUCACUUAUAGAUGGAUCCGCGCUGCAUUAGCUAGUUGGUAAGGUAACGGCUUACCAAGGCAACGAUGCAUAGCCGACCUGAGAGGGUGAUCGGCCACACUGGAACUGAGACACGGUCCAGACUCCUACGGGAGGCAGCAGUAGGGAAUCUUCCGCAAUGGGCGAAAGCCUGACGGAGCAACGCCGCGUGAGUGAUGAAGGUCUUCGGAUCGUAAAACUCUGUUAUUAGGGAAGAACAUAUGUGUAAGUAACUGUGCACAUCUUGACGGUACCUAAUCAGAAAGCCACGGCUAACUACGUC